UCAUUUUAAUUUUAGGAACAGUAAAAUAAAAUAAAAUUUCGGUGUUCUUUUACAUUUCAGGUUGUUUCGAAUUACAAUAGAAGCCAAAUAUUGUGACAAGAUUAAAUAUUAGAGAAUCAGCAAGUGAAAGAGGGAUUAAAACGUGAAACGUUAUGGAUGACGAAGCCUAAAAUAGACAGUUAGCGGAAACUGACAGAACCUGAAGGUGUUAUUCAACAAAAUCCAAUUCACUAGUGAAAGAAUGCUUUGGCUGUAAGUUUCUCAAAAGAAAUAACUGAGAUGUCAAUGGUGAAAAGCAGUAAUAGAUUUCUAAAUUUGUUAUUCGGAAGUAAACUCUGUGUUUCUUAAUGUAAGAUUUCGAGGUAUUCUAAAUUUAAGCCAUGCCAAAUAAAUAUGAUUCAAAUGGAAUUUUGCAAUUUUUUUGAGGAAUUCAGAUAUAGAAUAAAUAAAGUCUUUAUGAACUGAUAUUCAAAUUUUGUAAAAAGAUGAGAAAAAUAAUAAAUUUAUAACAGACGAUGCAGUUUUGAGAUGAAUAAAAACGAGAAUGGCAGGUAGAAUAUUGGGAUUGCAUUUAGAAAAUGAACGAUGACUGCGAAAGGGAAAAAAAAUCAGAACUUAAUUAAUAACGUAAGAAUAAUUUCUGUGGACAGCAAAAUUUCAAAGUAAAUGAAAUUUGAAUAAAAGAAAAGAGUGAGAAAUAAAUACUGAUUGUAUGAAAUGCAAAACAGUACGAAGAGCCCAGCACAGCAAUCCAAUUUUUUGCUUCAAUGCGAAUAAAAUUCGUGUUAUGUGUAAACUAUCAUUAAGGUAUUUCAAAACAAUUAGAAAAAAGUUUCAGAUAUACUAUAAAAAUGAAACUAUUUUAGUACAUGAUACUUUACAGUGUUUAAAAAGCAUCUUGCAAAAAUUUAAAAGCAAGUAAAGAGAGCUGAAAUAAGAAAAUUGAUACUGGAAUGUACUUGUCGAAAUGGCGCUUUAACAUAGUACAGGACGCUGCUGAGCGAUACAUAAAAGCAUUCUGCUGGCAUAAACUUCGAUUCUCUGCUGGCAUAAACUGUGAUUCCGAGCACAAGCUUAAACGCGAAGCUCAACUGUAUGCAUUUUAUUUUGGGAUUGCGGAUGGAAACGGAGCAGCUGCUUAAAUUAUAUUCAACUUCUUACAUACAACGGAAGAGUGAAUGAUGGCGAAACUGUAAAAGUCACGGUGAACAAGAUCAACAAGGAAUUUGCAUUGAUGGAAAAAUGGCGGGUUAGUCAAGGCGAAAUCUACGCUUUAACUGGUGGCUGGAAGAGGAACCAAUAUCACCGAAGUUAUAAAGAAUGACCGAAGGAAAACACACAGACCACAGAAUGCAGACUGCGUACGGGAAAAAAAAAACAUUCUAAUGAAGUAGCAAGCUUCAUCUAAAUAUUCGGAAGGGCAACGGUAGACCACGAGAAUGAAGGACCGAAUCCAGAAGUGAAAAGAAGACACCUCACGGCCGGAAUUGCCAACCCCGGAGACGUAUGAGGACCAUGGAGCCAGUUAUCCGAUCUGGACGGAGUUGCUGGAGAAGCAGAUGUUGGACUUCCACAAAAAUACAAGAUAUUCUCAUUUUAACUCAACCUUUGAUAAGAUGUAAAUUAUUCGUUUAUUUGAGAAUAUAUGUCAACUUGGAUAUGGAGAUCAGAACAGGAACAAGGAAUAAGAGAAUACAAUCUUUAGCCUUAAUUCUCUUACGGUUUUGCU